ACUUUUAAUAAUAGAUCUCUUAGUUUUAGUAUUAAUAAAGAACGUAGCAAAAUGUAAUAAGUAAUAUAAAUUACAGAAUUUAGUAAAUUAUUAAAUCUUUAAAUACAUAUUACGCCUACUAGCAUUCUAGCAGGCAUGCUUGUUUAAGCGUUAUUUUAACCCUUAAGCUCUGCUUAGUGUUAGGGCCCUAUGGUUAACGUAGGCCCUUAAAGGUAGUAGCAGACUUUCUUAAAGCCUCCUUUACGUAGUAACUAACGUCUUACAUUAGGAUUUAAAGGGACUCUUACUAUAAAACCCCUUAAUUUUCUAAUAGUUAACCUUAGAUUAGGUAGGAAUACUUACUAAACUUAAGUAUAUUAAUAAGUAGAAGAAAAGAAACUAAUAGGGAUUACCUUAGUAAUAGUAAGUAAAGCAGUAAUAGCUUAAAUUUAAAAUCUAGCCUUAGGCCUAAGUUAUAAUUUACAAAGGAUGCUUUUAGCGUAGUACCUUCUAAGUUCUCUAGAAUAAGACGCUAUAAAGGGUAAAAGCCUUAUAUAGUUAGAUACUAAGCCUUUUAAAGCUUUUUUAAUAAGUUAAGUAGUUUAAGAAUACUACUUAAAAUAAGAGGUAUAUUUCUUCUAAAGCUAAAUAUUAGCUAGAGACUAAUAGUGCAUAAGUAAAGUAAUUAAAAGAUAAAAGUACUUUAAAAAAAGAUUAAAUAGUAUGUAAAUUAUUAAAAGGGAAGUACUUAUAACUAGACUUACGCCUAGUAAAUUACCUAGCUUUUAUAGCUAAAGCACUUUACUAGCAUAGGCUAGCAUUAGCUUACUAUUAAGGAUAAAAGCUUUAGGAAUAUAGCUUUCUUUAGGAAGUGUUAUAGCCUGUUAUAUAAUACCCUUUGUAGGCUAAGGUAUAUACUUUAUAAGAAUGCUAGCAUAAUAGUUAUUAGCAACCUAUCUUAAAACAUAGACUAAGGAGUUAACCUUAUGUAUAAGUGUUUAGGUAUUAAACCUUUAUGCAUAAUAAAAGUAAACGUAGGUAAAAGCUUUAGUAUAUUAUUAACUAAUCUUAAUGUUCUUAGAUAGAUUUAAGUAAGAGUAUAUAGAGUUAGACCUAAAGAAGGUAAACUAUGUAUAUAUAAGGUAAAGCUAGAGAAAACUUUAGUAAAAGCUUAUAGCGGUUUUAACGUAUAAAUUAAUUAUUAAAUAUAUACAUAAAGGUAAAAGACUAAUUAAACCUUUAGUAGCUAGUUUCUGCUAAAGUUUUCUUUAGGAUAGUAGUAUUAAACUUAGUUUUAUAAGGUAAAGUAAAUAAUUAGAGACUUAGGGGCGCUAUAUUACCUUUAUUUAUUUUUAAACUUUAAAUAUAUAAGAAGCCCUUAUUACUUAAUUAAACAUAGGUAUUUAAAUAUAUUAACACUAGUAGGCCAUUUUUAGUAAGCAGAACUAGUGAAUACAGGAUAAACUAAACGUAAGGUUAAAGUACUAAAGUAGUUACUUAUUAGAUACUACAAAAGGUGUUAGUAUAUCUUAAUAGCAGGAUGGUAGCUAUAGAAGUUAGAAUCUACUAAGGACUAUAUAAUAACUUACUUACUAAAUAUACUAGCCUUAAAAAUAGAUAGCGCUUAAGUAACUUACCUAUACCUUACCUUUAGUGUAAAACAAUAUGCUAAGAAGUAGGUAGACGUAGAAGUUAGUAAUAAAGCCUAAGGCGUAAGCCUAGGUAGAACAGCCUUUAGUAUAAUCUUAGUAGUAGUAGUAAAUACUUUAAUAAGAACUUAAAAGACUAAAGUAAGAAAAGGUUUUAUAUAAACAGUAGUUAGAUAUAGGUUAGUUAAUCUUAAGCUAUAGGGAAGUUCUGUUUUAAAGAGGUACUUAUGCUCUAUAUAGUAAAAGGGAAGCUAGUUAAUAUUCUAGACCUAGAUAUAGGUUUUACAUAGUAACGUAACUAAAUAUAGAGAUAAUAGCAGGGGCCUUAGGUAGAGUUCUCUUUUCUUUUAACAGUCUAUUACCUUAAAAUUAGUUUAUCUAAAGCUAGGGUUUAAUAGCUAGAAGAGCCUAGUACUUCUGUUAAGUCUAGUAUACUUUUAAUAUCUCUUAAAAAUCUAUAAGAAGGAAUAAUUCUUACGCUAGGUUAUACUUAUAACUAUAGUAGGUCUCUAAGGUAAACAGCCUCUAGUUAAUAGAAUAAUAUAGAUAAGAGAAGUUAGUAAAAUAGAUCUAUAACUUUAGGAUAAAGAUUAGCUUUAAGGGUUAGGUACGUUAGGCUUUAGGUAGAUAGCUUAAGAGUAAGUUACUACUAGCUAGGUAACUAGCUAAAGGCUUCUAGUAUCUAGGUUCUAACGUCUUUAGUAGGCUUUAGCUAUCUAGCGUAUAGUUAAUAACUAACUUAGAACUAGUAUAGAUAAGGGAAAUCUAACUAUCUAAUUAAAACAUAGUAUUAUAAUAGCUAGAAAGUAGUGUUAACAUAAUAUAAUUUCUGCCUAGUGCUUUAAAUAUUAAAGUAAAGUAAUUUAACUAAGCGUAGGUAAACAGCAGGAGUAACUAUACUUUCUUAAGGUAGCUAAAUGCCUUGUUAUCUAAUUAGUAGACCGUAUAAAUAAAUUAAUAAGAUUCCUACUGUCUCUAUCUACUAUCUAGUAAAACUAUAGCUAAGGGAACAGGCUUAGUAGAAUUAGUAAGGAAAGAAGACCUUGUUAAGCUUAACUUUAGUUUAACAUUAUAAAAGAUAUAGAAGGUGUAAAUAGGUAGAAGCUUUAGCGCUAGUAAAAUACUACUACUCUUAUUGUUUUUUUACUUAUUUAAUAAAGUAGGGCUAGAUUUAUCUAACUUCUGGUUUUAAGGUCUUUACAGGCUAACCUAGGUUAAAGAUAUUGUUAGGUAGAGAGUUUAGCUAGGGUAGUAUAUCUGUUAAACUAUAAUGUAGGUGUCCUAAGGGGGGCUUAUAGAGAACAGAAAUCUUUAGUAGAAUAAAAGGGUAAAAGUCCUCUUAAUUUUAAUUUUUAGUGUAAUACAAACUAUAAAGUGUAGCUUAUUAAUUCUUUAGUCCUUAAAAUUUAAGGCUAGAGGUACUAGAAAAGUUACUAUAGAGAUAACUAGCUUGUGGUAGCUAAGCGUUUAUAGUAACGUUACUUUUUAAUUCUUUAAUGUUAGCUCUUCUUAUUAUACCUAAAGUAGAAUUUAGUAAGCGUUAGAUUGUUUACUUACUAAUAAGGAAUGUAAGCUAGGUUUAGACUGUUGAGACAGGUUAGUUUUAUCUUACUAAUGACCUUAUUAUAAUAGUAAUUAAGCUUAGUAUAAAGAGAACUGCUUAUUUAGAUAAUUAGUUUUUGUAGCUAUCUAACUAGGUAGUGCUGUAAUACUACUAUCUACUAGAUAAUAGCUAAACGCCUCUAAGUUAGAAUCUAUGCUAGAAUGUAAUAAUACCUUCUGUAUGUAAAUAGAUAUAAAUAGGCUUUAGCUUAGCGUUUUAGUAGGUAAUUACUUUACUACUCUUAAGUAAGUAGUAGUAUUUGUAAAUUAUAAUUUAGUAUAAGUAGGGUUAAAUCCUUUAUAGAUAACUUAGAUAUACAAAAGGGUCCUAUAAGCAGUAGAGUAGCCUUAUUAUUACAAUCUGCUAAGGGUAAGCCCU